rnacentral:rRNA from 1 species
UGGGGGAAUUUUGGACAAUGGGCGAAAGCCUGAUCCAGCAAUGCCGCGUGUGUGAAGAAGGCCUUCGGGUUGUAAAGCACUUUUGUCCGGAAAGAAAUCCUUGGCUCUAAUACAGUCGGGGGAUGACGGUACCGGAAGAAUAAGCACCGGCUAACUACGUGCCAGCAGCCGCGGUAAUACGUAGGGUGCAAGCGUUAAUCGGAAUUACUGGGCGUAAGCGUGCGCAGGCGGUUUGCUAAGACCGAUGUGAAAUCCCGGGCUCAACCUGGGAACUGCAUUGGUGACUGGCAGGCUAGAGUAUGGCAGAGGGGGGUAGAAUUCCACGUGUAGCAGUGAAAUGCGUAGAGAUGUGGAGGAAUACCGAUGGCGAAGGCAGCCCCCUGGGCCAAAUACUGACGCUCAUGCACGAAAGCGUGGGGAGCAAACAGGAUUAGAUACCCUGGUAGUCCACGCCCUAAACGAUGUCAACUAGUUGUUGGGGAUUCAUUUCCUUAGUAACGUAGCUAACGCGUGAAGUUGACCGCCUGGGGAGUACGGUCGCAAGAUUAAAACUUAAAUGAAUUGACGGGGU